GGCAAGAGUAACCUAGAAGGUGGUAAUGCCAGAUAAAACCUGUGUGAUGGUGGGGAGCAAAUUGUGUAUGAGAUGACAAUAGACAUCCAAAAGGCCAAUUAUUUCCUAUGCUUCAUAUGAAAUUACAUUAUGCUGCCAAGCAGUGAGAUGAUGGUCCCCAUAUAUUAAAAUAAAAGCAGCACAUGAUAACCCACCAGCUUCUGUUGGACAAUAUGCCAUGGAAUAUAUAGGAAACCAGUGAGUAAAAAUUAAGUUAGCAUAUGUUUCUGGAUGUUAGUAAUAUACCUUCAGAAUGUUGCAGGAUUGGGAGAGCAGAUGAUACUGCUAAGCUGUUUACCAUCCAAGUAGAGCUCUGCUGUGAACUGAUGACAACUGGAUUUCAAAUCUCCUCUUCUGUGAAAUUCUUUGCUCUUCACUUUUCUCUCCACAGGACUUGGAUGGCAUCAGGACCAGGCUUGGUGGAGAACUGAGCAGCUGCCGUGUGAAGAAAGCCCUUCCUACUCAGCCAUUAGAAACGACGAAUACUCACCUUUUGCUUCAACAUGGAUGGAACUGGAGGGUAUUAUGCUGAGUGAAGUAAGUCAAUCAGAGAAGGACAAACAUAUGGUCUCAUUCAUUUGGGGAAUAUAAGAAAUAGUGAAAGGGAAUAAAGGGGAAAGGAGUGAAAAUAAGUGGGAAAUAUCAGAGAGGGUGACAGAAGAUGAGAGACUCCUAACUCUGGGAAACGAACAAGGGGUAGUGGAAUGGGAGGUGGCGGGGUUUGGGGUGACUGGGUGACAGGCACUAAGGGGGAGUACUUGAAGGGAUGAGCACUGGGUGUUAUACUAUAUGUUGGCAAAUCAAACACCAAUAAAAAAAUAUACAAAGAAACAAACAAACAAACAAAAAAGCCCUUCCUAGAUCCUUCUUCCCUACCUUUCCUACAUAUCGAAGACUUCAGCUGCCAGGGGGGAAAAGACCACAAACAUCCUUCAAGCCAUAAGUGAAAAAAAUUCCAUUCCUGGAGCUGAGACAGAAAUCCAUCCAGGGUACAGACCUAUUGUCAGGCAUGAAACAGUAUUACAGAGAAAGUCUCACCUCUAACAUUGAAGCUUAAUCAGAACUACAGAGAAUGCCCUGUGCCCAGUACCUACAGAUAUCAAGUGGUCUACUACAGAGAGCAUGGCAAGAAUGUGGAGAGAGAACCUCUCUGAGAUGCUGCAUAAAGAAAACCCCUAAUUUGAGGGUAGAAUAGAUAUUGAGAAAAACCUAUUGACAAACCAAUCCCAAUAAUAGAAAUAUUUGAGGUCCAUGGUACACUAAGGAUAAUAGAAACAACACAUCCUGAACCUAGCUCAAUUCCUAACUAGAUAGAUUCAAAACCCCAUUUUGAAGUCCUCUGAAAAUAAAAGGCAGGCCUAUUUCCAUAUGUAAGAUUAUUUAUCUCACCUUCCACUAUACUGCAUAAAAUGUCCUGAUUUCAACAACAAAACAUUAUAAAGAGACAAAGCAAUCAAUAAGACAAUACCCACAGAUGAUUCAGAUAUUGCAAUAUCAGUGAAUAUUUUAAAAUUCUGACUGUAGGGACACCUGGGUGGUUCAGCUGUUGAGCAUCUACCUUUGGCUCAGGGCAUGAUCUCAGGUCGGGGGAUUGAGUCCCCCAUUGGGCUUCCUGUGAGGAGCUCGCUUCUCCCUCUGCCUGUGUCUCUGCCUCUAUCUAUGUGUCUCAUGAAAAAAUAAAUAAAAUCUUUUAAAAAAGAAAAAAAGAAAAAAGAAAAUUAUGACUAUUGUGUUGAAGGCUCUAGAGGGUAGUAUGUUUGAUGAGAAUAUUAAUUUUAGCAGAUAUUAAAUUAUUAUAAUGUUAGAGCACCUAAAUUUAGCAUUUUUUUAUAAAAUGAAAUAGAAUUACUCAAAAUUAAAAAGAAUCUGGUAGUAAGUAAUAAAAAAUGCUUUAAUAAGCUCAUCAUCGACUCGACAUAGACAAGAAAAAAAUCAGUGAACUUAAAGUUAUAUUGAAUAUAUAUCAAGAUAGACCAAAAGAAAUUAUUCAAACUAAAACCCAAACAGAAAAGGGAGAUUUUGGGGAUGGGUCUUUCAAGAGCAAACAUCCUAAGACGGAAAAAGCAGAAGCUGCUAAGAGGCACAGCAUUACUCUGACCUAUUCUAUUGACCAAUAUAGGCACAAUUUCUGUCCAUGUUCAAGAGGGCAGAGAAAAGCAUUAUAGCUCUUGGUGAGGAACAGCCAGUGUUACAUCACAUAAGAGCAUGUGGGGUGGGAGUUAUCAUUGCAGCCAUCUUUGUGAAAUAUAAUCUGUCACAUUAAUUUUAUUGACUUUCCAUCAUGUGAAAUUACAGGAUGUUUUAAGACAAGUAGCCCUGAAUCAGCUACCCAUAUGGAGUGGAGAGUUUGGCAACAAAAAUUCAAAUAAUAUAAUAGGGAGAAUGUGCCAAACAGCAUAGGCAAAGAACAAAGUUUCAAAGGAAAUAACAUUCCUGUGGGAAGAAAUUUAAAAAUAAUCCAUGCAAGAGUUGGAUCUUUGCAUGGACCACUUGAAGGGACAGAUACAAUUUUCACAGAUGAGAAAACAGGAAAGGACAUAUGGAAAGGACAUAACAGCUAGUGAGUAUUUCUAGUUUGUGGAAGCAAGAAAGCAAACAAAACACACAAAACAAGAUGGGAAAAACUUCUGGAAUCUUUGCAGGAAGCAUGAAAGAAUAGUGUUUAUAAAAGAAUAUUGGAAAUUUAAAAAGCAGAUGAGUGCAUGGAUGUUAUAAGGCAGAAGGAAGGAAAUAUCAAUUGAGCUCCAGCAAUACAUCAGGAAGGAUUCUGUAUACUUUGUGCUACUUAACUCACACUAUCUUCAUAGCCAUCCUGGAGGUUUUAGUACACAUAAAGGAAGUGGAGAUCUUUUCAAAAACUUGCCCAGGCAGAACAUGGAGUCCAUUUGUAUCCAGUUCCAGAGCCCCUAUUUUAUAGAUUUCUCCAUGUGCCUCUCCUUGAAGGUAUCUGAUUUGGUACUUUGUGGAAAUUCAUAGAAGAGUGUGGACAAGAAGGUAAAAUCAUUUUAAUUGUUCUUUAGAAAGAUUUGAAUGGGUCCUCUUAAAAAAAAGAACCCGAGGAUCCCUGGGUGGCUCAGCGGUUUAGCGCCUGCCUUUGGCUCUGGCACGAUCCUGGAGACCUGGGAUCCUGCAUGGAGCCUGCUUCUCCUUCCUCCUGGGUCUCUGCCUGUCUCUCUCUCUCUCUCUAUGUCUAUAAUAAAUAAAUUAAUUAAUUAAAAAAAAGAGAGAGAGAGAGAACCCAAGGAAGGUAGGGAGACCAGUCAGGAGACCACUACAAUAUCCCAUUAUGAGAG
rnacentral:lncRNA from 1 species